rnacentral:rRNA from 1 species
UACAGAGGGUGCGAGCGUUAAUCGGAAUUACUGGGCGUAAAGCGUGCGUAGACGGUAGCGUAAGUCAGAUGUGAAAGCCCCGGGCUCAACCUGGGAACUGCAUUUGAGACUGCUCUGCUCGGGUGCGGAAGAGGGAAGCGGAAUUUCCGGUGUAGCGGUGAAAUGCGUAGAUAUCGGAAGGAACACCAGUGGCGAAGGCGGCUCACUGGCCCGAUACUGACGCUGAGGCACGAAAGCGUGGGGAGCAAACAGG